rnacentral:rRNA from 1 species
CCUACGGGAGACAGCAGUGAGGAAUAUUGGUCAAUGGCCGUAAGUCUGAACCAGCCAAGUCGCGUGAAGGAAGACGGCUCUAUGGUUUGUAAACUUCUUUUAUAGGGGAAUAAAUGUCUCCACGUGUGUAUAUUUGCAUGUACCCUAUGAAUAAGCAUCGGCUAACUCCGUGCCAGCAGCCGCGGUAAUACGGAGGAUGCGAGCGUUAUCCGGAUUUAUUGGGUUUAAAGGGUGCGUAGGUUGUUUUUUAAGUCAGCGGUGAAAGGUUGUGGCUCAACCAUAAAAAUGCCGUUGAAACUGGAAGGCUUGGGUGUGGUUUAGGUAAGCGGAAUGCGUGGGGUAGCGGUGAAAUGCAUAGAUA